UACGUAGGGUGCAAGCGUUGUCCGGAAUUAUUGGGCGUAAAGAGCUCGUAGGCGGCUUGUCACGUCGACUGUGAAAACUCUGGGCUUAACCCAGAGCCUGCAUUCAAAACUGACAGGCUAGAGUUCUGGAGGGGGAAGCGGAAUUCCUGGUGUAGCGGUGAAAUGCGUAGAUAUCAGGAGGAACACCGGUGGCGAAGGCGGCUUCCUGGACAGAAACUGACGCUGAGGCGCGAAAGCUAGGGGAGCAAACAGG
rnacentral:rRNA from 1 species